AGGCCAUGACGCGGACAAAGUCUCGUCAUGUCUUUUUACCUUUCCCAGACUUCAAAGAGGGACUCUGCUUCAGCUUGUCUAAAACAAUUGAUUUGGUUUCUUAAAACU